CCAUGCGAGCCAUUGUAGCAAUACAAGGCAGACGGCUCAGUAACGCGUAGUCAACCUACCCUAUGGACGGGAAUAACCUCGGGAAACUGAGUAUAAUGCCCGAUAGAACACUAUACCUGGAAUGGUUUGUGUUUCAAAUGAUUUAUUGCCGUAGGAUGGGACUGCGGCCUAUCAGUUUGUUGGUGAGGUAAUGGCCCACCAAGACUAUUACAGGUACGGGCUCUGAGAGGAGUGGCCCGGAGAUGGGUACUGAGACACGGACCCAGGCCCUAUGGGGCGCAGCAGGCGAGAAAACUUUGCAAUGUGCGAAAGCACGACAAGGUUAAUCCGAGUGGUUUCUGCUAAAGGAACCUUUUGACAGUCCUAGAAACACUGUUGAAUAAGGGGUGGGCAAGUUCUGGUGUCAGCCGCCGCGGUAAAACCAGCACCUCAAGUGGUCAGGAUGAUUAUUGGGCCUAAAGCAUCCGUAGCCGGCUCAGUAAGUUUUCGGUUAAAUCUGUACGCUCAACGUACAGGCUGCCGGGAAUACUGCAGAGCUAGGGAGUGGGAGAGGUAGACGGUACUCGGGAGGAAGUGGUAAAAUGCUUUGAUC
rnacentral:rRNA from 1 species